rnacentral:rRNA from 1 species
GAUGAACGCUGGCGGCGUGCCUAAUACAUGCAAGUCGAGCGAACAGACGAGGAGCUUGCUCCUCUGACGUUAGCGGCGGACGGGUGAGUAACACGUGGAUAACCUACCUAUAAGACUGGGAUAACUUCGGGAAACCGGAGCUAAUACCGGAUAAUAUAUUGAACCGCAUGGUUCAAUAGUGAAAGACGGUUUUGCUGUCACUUAUAGAUGGAUCCGCGCCGCAUUAGCUAGUUGGUAAGGUAACGGCUUACCAAGGCAACGAUGCGUAGCCGACCUGAGAGGGUGAUCGGCCACACUGGAACUGAGACACGGUCCAGACUCCUACGGGAGGCAGCAGUAGGGAAUCUUCCGCAAUGGACGAAGGCCUGACGGAGCAACGCCGCGUGAGUGAUGAAGGUCUUCGGAUCGUAAAACUCUGUUAUUAGGGAAGAACAAAUGUGUAAGUAACUAUGCACGUCUUGACGGUACCUAAUCAGAAAGCCACGGCUAACUACGUG